rnacentral:rRNA from 1 species
AUUGAACGCUGGCGGCAUGCUUUACACAUGCAAGUCGAACGGUAACAGGGUGCUUGCACCGCUGACGAGUGGCGAACGGGUGAGUAAUGCGUCGGAACGUGCCGAGUAGUGGGGGACAACGCAGCGAAAGUUGUGCUAAUACCGCAUACGUACUGAGGUAGAAAGUGGGGGACCUUCGGGCCACACGCUAUUCGAGCGGCCGACGUCGGAUUAGCUAGUAGGUGGGGCAAAGGCUCACCUAGGCGACGAUCAGUAGCGGGUCUGAGAGGAUGAUCCGCCACACUGGGACUGAGACACGGCCCAGACUCCUACGGGAGGCAGCAGUGGGGAAUUUUGGACAAUGGGCGAAAGCCUGAUCCAGCCAUGCCGCGUGUUUGAAGAAGGCCUUCGGGUUGUAAAGGACUUUUGUCAGGGAGGAAAUCCCUAGUGCUAAUAACACUGGGGGAUGACAGUACCUGAAGAAUAAGCACCGGCUAACUACGUGCCAGCCGCCGCCGUAA